rnacentral:rRNA from 1 species
GGAGACAGGUGCUGCAUGGCUGUCGUCAGCUCGUGUCGUGAGAUGUUGGGUUAAGUCCCGCAACGAGCGCAACCCUUGCCUUUAGUUUGCCAGCAGUUCGGCUGGGCACUCUAAAGGGACUGCCGGUGUUAAACCGGAGGAAGGUGGGGAUGACGUCAAGUCCUCAUGGCCUUUAUGACCAGGGCUACACACGCACUACAAUGGCCGAUACAAAGGGCAGCGACACUGCGAGGUGAAGCCAAUCCCGUAAAAUCGGUCUCAGUCCGGAUUGGAGUCUGCAACUCGACUCCAUGAAGUUGGAAUCGCUAGUAAUCGUGGAUCAGCAUGCCACGGUGAAUACGUUCCCGGGCCUU